rnacentral:rRNA from 1 species
ACGAACGCUGGCGGCGUGCCUCAUACAUGCAAGUCGAACGCUUCUUUCCUCCCGAGUGCUUGCACUCAAUUGGAAAGAGGAGUGGCGGACGGGUGAGUAACACGUGGGUAACCUACCCAUCAGAGGGGGAUAACACUUGGAAACAGGUGCUAAUACCGCAUAACAGUUUAUGCCGCAUGGCAUAAGAGUGAAAGGCGCUUUCGGGUGUCGUUGAUGGAUGGACCCGCGGUGCAUUAGCUAGUUGGUGAGGUAACGGCUCACCAAGGCCACGAUGCAUAGCCGACCUGAGAGGGUGAUCGGCCACACUGGGACUGAGACACGGCCCAGACUCCUACGGGAGGCAGCAGUAGGGAAUCUUCGGCAAUGGACGAAAGUCUGACCGAGCAACGCCGCGUGAGUGAAGAAGGUUUUCGGAUUGUAAAACUCUGUUGUUAGAGAAGAACAAGGACGUUAGUAACUGAACGUCCCCUGACGGUAUCUAACCAGAAAGCCACGGCUAACUACGUG